AUCAUCAUUGCAACACCUGAUCCCUAGGUGGCGGUAAUGUACAAUUCAGCACAGAAGAAGAAGAGGAGGAGACGAGUGUUAAUGGUGUUUACUGCUCAUCUGGAGAGUCGCCGUCAUCUUGAUGCAGGAGGUUAGAAGAAACAACAAACACACAGUAAACAUCUGAAGAGCACGUAGCUCGUGCACGGAGCAAGGGAGCAACUUAAGGUUCAGUGUCUUGCCCAAGGACACUUCGGCAUGUGGAGUCAUGCAGGCCGGGAAUUGAACCCCCAACCCUACGAUUAGUGGACAACCCGCUCUACCACCUGAACCAUAGCCGCCCAUGUUUGGAUAGAACUUUCUGGAACAUGGAGCUAAUGCUAAUUUAAUAUGUUCUGUCAGAAAGCCCACACAGUUUGCAGCAUGCUGUGGACCCAAACAAAUUCUUCCACCUGCCCCCACUGUUAACUUCCCCACAGUCACCCCAAACACCACUUUCACCACUGUUCUCACCACCACUUGACCAGCAGCAGCACACGGCUCGUUCACAGAGAUGCUGCAGAACUGGCAGCCGAUGGACGAUAUGCCAUCGUUGCCAGGCUGUUAGCCUUUACGAGGAGCCCCCAGUAAUCAUCAGAAGCAGGUAGGGCCAACCGUGACUUCCACUCAGCCAUCUUACUGGAAUUUGUAUAGGUUAGGAAUAAGACUGAGGAUGGAGUUGUAUAGUUUUGUAGUGUGUAUCAUUUGUAAAUAUUGUUAACUUCAUCAUAGCCAUGCAGAGGGAGGUGUUGACUAAAUUGUGGAUGGUGCUGGACCUACAAACCACUGAGAUUGCUUCAACUACAGGAGGUCCAGGUGCAGCCUUUGUAAUAUUGAGGAGGAUUUACUGCCCCUGCAAGACCAUCCUCAACUGUGUAGUCUGGAGCAAAGGAUGGAACAGAGCCCAGAUUACAAGCAAAAACUGCUGAGAAUUUUCUUUUUUUGUUAACAAUUGCUUGCACAAUUACACAGCGACUGAGAGCUUUUUUUUUCUCUCUCAAAAGGACACUCGUACUCAAAGGACAACACUGAACACAACUUUGAUAUAAGGGAACAGUUAUGACCUAAUCUUUGGUAGAGGAGGAAAACACACAGGGCAGGGUAACUGCAGGAGUAGUGAGAAGCACUGACCCAGUUGACAAGGCAAUACAUGCUUAUUUAUUUUUAUACUAUUGUAUAUUAUUUUUGUGUUUUAAAUCGGUUUCAGGUAAACUGGUUGGCGCCUAUUGACAGGGUGGAUUUUGAAGAGGGUGAUGGCUAACUCCCCGGAAAAGAACCUCAACUGGAGGGGAGUCACUGGAAAGACGUCACUGGAAAGACUUCACUGGCCGCUCUCCAACUCGGAGAGGUCAUGAUUGCUGCAGUUCGUAGAAACCUCCUCACGGCUAAUGCUGCUGAGAUGGAGGUCAAGAGGACCAUGAAGAGGUGGCUUCAGCUGGCAUCAGAUCGAGAGUGUGGGCGCAAGUGAAGACUUUUGCAAAAGGAGGGUAUGUAGAAUGUUUUAACUGUGGUGUGUUUUUUGCGCUAUUUGUUAAAAUGUUUAUAGUAUAGUCUAUUUUUAAUUGUUUAUAAAAGUCCUUGCUGUUUUUAAGUGGUUGAAUUUUUGCGUGUUGGUAGCUGGGUGGGUAUACAGUUGCGGUUGAAAGUUUACAUACCCCUUGCAGAAUUUAUAAAAUCUUAAUACUCUUAACAAAAUCAGAUUGAUCAUAAAAAUCCCAUGAUUUUUUAUUUAGUCCUGUCCUGAAUAAACUAUUUCACAUAACAGAUGUUUACAUAUAGUCCACAAGACAAUAGAAAAAUCCUCCAGGUCCUGAAUGUGACGGAAAAACACAUUCAGGACCUGGAGGAUGAAAAACAGUGGUCAGCUUAAAUGCUCAGGACAAACAAGGGACUCGUGAACAAAUAUCACAAAAUAUAAACACAGUCGUGGAUCAUCCAGGUAAUGACACAGUAUUAAGAAUCAAGUGUAUGUAAAUUUUUGAAUGGGGUAAUUUGUAUAAAUUCAGCUAUUAUCUUGUGGACUAUAUGUAAAAAUCUGUUAUGUGAAAGUUUAUUCAGGACAGGGCUAAAUAAAAACACAGGUUUUUUUAUGAUCCGUCUUAUUUUGUUAACGGUAUUAAGAUUUUGUAAAUUCUGCAAGGGGUAUGUAAACAAAUGUAUGUUCUCUAUAUGUCUUUUCUUUACAAAUGUUCUUGAUGUUUUUAAAUGGUUGAAUUUAUUUGUGUGAAUUUUUGUCUUUAAAUAUACUGUAAAUAUAUUUACUUAUUUUGUUUUUAAAAGUGUGUUGUUAAAUGUUCAUAUUGUAGUGUAUUUGUUAAUGUUUAAUAAAAGCCCUUAAUCUUAUUAAAUGGUUGAGUUUGUGUUUCCCUGCUAAAAUGAAGUACAUUUGGCAGUUUCUGGGCCACAUCUGGCCCGGGGACCAAGCCGACUCUCAGCCAGAUCUGUCUUACAGUGUCUGGGCCAGACCCGGGCCACAUAAAACAAUGUCACUUUACAGUGUCUGGGCCAGAGGAAAUUGUAUGUGUCGGUUUUCAGUGUGUGGGCCAGUUUUGGGCUGGGGAUCCAGGCAUAUAUUGGGCCAGAACUAAAGCAAGCAUGUGGCCCACAAGUGGGCCAGACAAAUUUUGUUAUCUGGGUUGAGUUCGUCGGAGUUAAAGUGAUUGUGUAGUUUUCA